GACGAACGCUGGCGGCGUGCCUAACACAUGCAAGUCGAGCGGAGACAUUGGCUUCGGUUAAUGUUUUAGCGGCGGACGGGUGAGUAACGCGUGAGCAACCUUUCUCUCAGUGGGGAAUAACACAGGGAAACUUGUACUAAUACCGCAUGAGACCACGACCUGGCAUCAGGAUGGGGUCAAAGAUUAAUCGCUGAGAGGUGGGCUCGCGUCUGAUUAGAUAGUUGGUGGGGUAACGGCCUACCAAGUCGACGAUCAGUAGCCGACCUGAGAGGGUGAUCGGCCACAUUGGGACUGAGACACGGCCCAAACUCCUACGGGAGGCAGCAGUGGGGAAUAUUGGGCAAUGGGGGAAACCCUGACCCAGCAACGCCGCGUGGAGGAAGAAGGUUUUCGGAUCGUAAACUCCUGUCCUCAGGGAAGAGCAGAAGACGGUACCUGAGGAGGAAGCCCCGGCUAACUACGUG
rnacentral:rRNA from 1 species